GUCCUCAGUGCAUCAAAUACCUGUCAUGAGGAACAAUAAGCUUACUAGUUGAUCUAAAUCCCCACUUCAGAUGAUACAAAUAUCCAGUUAACUGAUGAAAGAAAACUGAAUUAUCUAGAAUGUAUGCAAUAAUGUAUCAAAAUGGCAACAAUUCCUGUAAUUCCCAUGAUCACCACUCAAAUGAGCAAUUCUAGCCCAGAAAAUUACUAAAGCCAGCGUCUGUAUUGGCUCAGUGAUAUAUAAUGUUAUAAAUGAGAAUUAUGCCAUUCAAUUGCAAGGACAAGCACCCAAAACGAUGGGGGUAAAAAAGAUAAAUGGGUCUCUUAUAGUGUUGUGCUAGUGCCAUAGCUAAGCUGGAUUAAACUUGUCUCUAAAGGUAAGCACAAUAAUAGACACAGUUAACCACAAUAAUUCAUGGCACCAAAAUCUAGAUUUACAAAAUCUCAAAGGAUAAGAGUUUGUAUAUGCAGUGAAUUAGUUUUUGCAGUCAACAGUCAACCCCAAUCACUUACGAAAGUUGCUUCUCAAUUUUUCCUGAUUUUAUAAGUUUGUUGGCCUAACAGCAGACAACAGUAAGUGCCACAACAAAAUUGGAUAGAGAAAGAGCAAAAGAUAGAGGACCUGAUAUUCCUGAAAGUAGACA
rnacentral:misc_RNA from 1 species